rnacentral:rRNA from 1 species
UAGGGAAUCUUCGGCAAUGGACGAAAGUCUGACCGAGCAACGCCGCGUGAGUGAAGAAGGUUUUCGGAUCGUAAAACUCUGUUGUUAGAGAAGAACAAGUGGGAGAGUAACUGUUCCCACCUUGACGGUAUCUAACCAGAAAGCCACGGCUAACUACGUGCCAGCAGCCGCGGUAAUACGUAGGUGGCAAGCGUUGUCCGGAUUUAUUGGGCGUAAAGCGAGCGCAGGCGGUUUCUUAAGUCUGAUGUGAAAGCCCUCGGCUCAACCGAGGAAGGUCAUUGGAAACUGGGGAACUUGAAUGCAGAAGAGGAGAGUGGAAUUCCAUGUGUAGCGGUGAAAUGCGUAGAUAUAUGGAGGAACGCCAGUGGCGAAGGCGACUCUCUGGUCUGUAAUUGACGCUGAGGCUCGAAAGCGUGGGGAGCAAACAGG